rnacentral:lncRNA from 1 species
GAUUUUCCCCCCAAGUCCUGGCUGCCCUGUGCUGCCACUGGGUAUUUGGCCUGCAGGAGAGGCUAGGUUGAUCACUGGUGCUGCGGCCACAGGCUUUCCACAAAAGGAGGAGGUGGUCAUUCUGCUGUCCAAUUGGGGUCCCCAGUGUGGGCUGAGGCCCAGUUUCUGGAUUUGAUGUGUGGUAUAAAUUUGCCCAUGUCCUGAACCCUGUGGGUCUGUGAAGUGUCAUAGGCUUGGGCUAAGGCAGCUUUCCCACCAUGUGGUGAGUACCCAGGACCGGGAAGCGAGCUGCCAGCUGGGCUGUAGUUGACCUUGGAGAUGGGAGGAGACUGGAAAAUGAUGGCUUUGGAAGGAGCAGUGGUAUCUGUGUGUUUCAUGUCAGAGGGAGGUGUGGAUGAUGAGAGUACAGAGGCUCUGUCUGAUAGCAUGGCUGCAAGUGUAGGGUAACCUCAUGACUGACAACUAAAUGACGGUGAGCAGGGUCACCUCUGGUCAUAUCUGCUUGAAUCUUUAUAAACCCAGGCUGCCCAGUUGUCUCCCUAGGGUCCACAGGCCCACCUGAUACCUCGUUUUCCUCAGCCCAAGAGGGAGGAUGGUGGCAGAAUUGUUGCCAACAUUAGUCCUGACAAUCCUGCUAAUCCCUCAGUAGCCCAUUGUAUCUCCAGACCCUUAAUUUUUCUGGAUUUGUUAUGUCACUUUGUAAAGAAAUCAAGCUGGUUUGUUUAAAGCAUUGGUAUCCAUAUAUAUAUAAGUGAGAUUGUAUAGUUCUUUUUCCUCCCGUAUUUUUGUGAGCUCCUAAUUAGAAUUAUGGUCUCCUUGGUUAUUAAAUCGGGAAACUUGUCAUCACUUUCUGCACUCUGGAACAGAAGAAUAAUCUGUUUCUGGAAUUUGGCAGAACCUGACUGCAGACUGCUGGUGUUUUGUCUUGUUUCUGUCUUGCAGUGCCGAGGAUUGAGUCCAGAGCCUAGGCCAAGUUAGUGUUUAUUGGCCAGAUGUGCUUAGUGAUCGCUUAUUUUAUUAAUCUUUUUGAAGAACCAGCUUUGGGAGUUCUUGGUUAGUGCUACUGAUUUUUAUCCUUCUACAUCAGUAAUUUCUGUUCUUAGUAUUUAUCUUUCUACUUCAUUUAAAUUUACUUUGUUCAAGCUCUAGCCUUCUGAAUCAAAAACUGGAAUCAUUUAUUUAACCAGUUGAUCCUCCUCCUAAACCAGGCAAGGUCUUGGAAUUCAUUUUGUUGGCCUCACAUGUUUUUUUCCCUCCAGUACCGGGGAUUGAACUCAGGACCUUGCACUUGCGAGGGAGGCAGCAGCACCACUGAGCUAAUUCCCUGGCCCGAGUUGGUUUUGUUUCAUCCUUGCUCCCUCAAAUCUGACUCAAGGUCCUGCCGUGGUAGCUCUGCCUGGGGUCUAUAUGUAUAACUACAGAGAAUGUCCUUCAAAAUCGUGACCAUAAAGCCCAUUGGAGGAGAACCAGCUUGAGGGAAGUAGAGAGUCCUGGGGUGUUUUGUUUGUUGGUUGGUUUGUAUUUGGUACCGGGAUCGAACUCGGGGCCUUGAGCUUGCAAGGCAAGCGACGGAGCCACUGAGCUAAAUCCCCGGCCCUGAGAAAUCCUGGGUUUUUUCAUGACCUUGAGUUUUGGGUGUCUUGGAUGCAGGCUAGAGAUGUUGUUGGACAUGGUAUAGAGUGAGAGGAGAGGUUUUGGCUGGGAUAUAAAUUCCUGGUUUUCCUGCAGUUUACCUAGGGGCACACAGGUAUGUAUGUAUGUAUGCAUGUAUGCAUGUAUGUAUGUAUGUAAUAACAGUACUACCAUAGGAAUCAUAAGCUCCUUGUAGCGGGCAGUGGGAAGCUUAGUCAAGUUCUCAAAGUCAGAAUCACUUGAGGUGCCUGCAGAAAAUUGUAGAUUGGUGGGACCCACCUUCAGAGUUUGUUGUUGUUUCUUUGUUUGUUUGUUUCGGUACUGGCAAUGGAACUCAGGACCUUCUGCUUGUGAGGUAUGCAGCAGAACCACUGAGGUAGAUCCCUGGCCCCCUUCAGAGCUUUGAAUGUGGUCAAACCAAGUAGACCUAGAGGUGUAGCUCAGUGGUACAGUUCUUCCCUAGCAAAUGUGAGGUCCUGGGUUCCUUUCCCAGUGCCACCAAAAGAAAGAAACAACAAAACAAAAACAAAAUAGCCUUGGUAGGUAGGAGAAUGUGCAGUUUUAUCAAGUUCCUACAUGAUGCUGAAGCUACUGGUCCCAGUACCUCACUUUGAAAUAAUUGUUUUUGAAUAUUUGGAAUUUAACCCAGGGUCUCUGCACCGAGCUACAUCCCCAGCCUAUAUGUAUAUAGAGAGAGAGAGAGAGAGACACCUUGUGUCCAAAUGUAUAUAUACAUGUACAUAUAUAUACAUAGUAUAUAUACAUGCAUAUAUAUGCAGAUGUAUCGCAAGCCGGGGUGUUCCGCAGUCACUGAGUUGCCCCAGCUGAGCUGAAGUUGAGAUCCUCUUGCCUCAGCUUCCCAAAGCACUGAGAUUACAGGAGUGACCCACCGUUUCCACACUGGAACGCUGGUGUGGAAUGCCAAGAAGGGGGGGGGGUCCAGGUCUUUCGUGGAAACACUCCUCCAUCAUCCAGGAGUGGAAGACGAGUCCUUGAGGAGACAGAGGAAGCAGCGAGAAAGGCCGGAGCACCUGCUGCUGGCCGAUGGAGGUGGCGCCCAGCAAAGAUGCAGACUCCUGGACCACAACUCCCAGGGCUCCUUGCGCCGAGUCGCGCGCGCCCCCCUGCGCCUGCGUGCGCCCUGAAGGCGAUAGGCGGGGCGCCAUUGGGUCGGUAGGAGCACGGGACCUUUUGCCCAGCGUCUCCGAGCUGAGAGUUGCGGUGGUUGCUGGCAGCUGCGACGUGGGCGGAAACGGAGGGGGAGCUGAGCCUGGC